AGCAGCGUCAACAAAAACAAUCUGGAGGCGGCAAAAAGGAAAGAAAAGAUCAGCGGUCAUAAAUGGCUGGACCAGUGGAUGCUCAACAUGAGAAGACAGAACCGGACAUCUAACAAGACUUCUCGUCUGUGGGGCGAACACAGAGAGUCAUCACUUCAUACGGUACCUUAUAAAGUUG